GAUGAACGCUGGCGGCGUGCUUAACACAUGCAAGUCGAACGAAGCACCUUGAUUUGAUUCUUCGGAUGAAGAUCUUGGUGACUGAGUGGCGGACGGGUGAGUAACGCGUGGGUAACCUGCCUCAUACAGGGGGAUAACAGUUAGAAAUGACUGCUAAUACCGCAUAAGACCACAGCACCGCAUGGUGCAGGGGUAAAAACUCCGGUGGUAUGAGAUGGACCCGCGUCUGAUUAGGUAGUUGGUGGGGUAACGGCCUACCAAGCCGGCGAUCAGUAGCCGACCUGAGAGGGUGACCGGCCACAUUGGGACUGAGACACGGCCCAAACUCCUACGGGAGGCAGCAGUGGGGAAUAUUGCACAAUGGGGGAAACCCUGAUGCAGCGACGCCGCGUGAGCGAUGAAGUAUUUCGGUAUGUAAAGCUCUAUCAGCAGGGAAGAAAAUGACGGUACCUGACUAAGAAGCACCGGCUAAAUACGUG
rnacentral:rRNA from 1 species